rnacentral:rRNA from 1 species
AUACGAACCGUACAAACGUUAUUCGGAAUUAUUGGGCUUAAAGGGUGCGUAGGCGGCGCAGUCAGUGAGGUGUGAAAUCCCUCGGCUCAACCGAGGAAUUGCGCUUCAUACUGCUGUGCUCGAGGGAGACAGGGGUAAGCGGAACUGAUGGUGGAGCGGUGAAAUGCGUUGAUAUUAUCAGGAACACCAGUGGCGAAAGCGGCUUACUGGGUCUCUUCUGACGCUGAGGCACGAAAGCUAGGGUAGCGAACGGGAGUAGAAACCCGAGUAGUCC